rnacentral:lncRNA from 1 species
UGUCCAAAAUCAGUUGGCAGCAAAUAGGUAAAACAAGUUUAAACGUCAUCACUCAAGCUUCAAUCUAGAGAAAAGUUGCCAUACUUACCUCACAGAAUUUCAACUCAGUUCCUGCUGAGUUAAGGUGGAAGAACAUAGUCAAACAUCAAUUCCCAAGCUUCAAAAGCCAUCCCCCAGGUUUCCAAACCAGCUUGUAGCAAGAGAGGGAGAAAAACCAACUCAAAUCCACUAGUUUUUCCUUUCCAAAUGGAAGACCUAGAGAGAAAAAGAAAGAAGGCAUCCCUUACCUUAUCCUCAGCUCCAGAAGGAUAAGAACAAGCCUAGGGGUCGACCAGAGUUGAUAAGGAUGGAUUUAGAAAGUGAAAAGACCAAAAUAGCCUCAGCCCGCAGCUACUGCUGUGCUGUGUACCGGUACACAAUGAUGGCUGUACCGGUACACUAUACAAAUUUCUGCCAUUUCGAGUUUUCAAUGCACUUUCGGUCUUUUAAUGGUUUGAUCACUACUUUAACUUGUCAAAAAUCUUUUUCAUACUCUUUAAAAGAUGUAGGCUAGUUCCCAUUACCAUUCCCUCUCAUCAAACUUCGUAAUUAGCCAAAUUCAAAGCACUACAUUCGAUUAGUGCAUUUGCAAAGCUCUUUUCCAUUUCCAGUUAUUUACUUGGUCCAGUCCUUUGCUGUAACCUCUUGACAACUCUUCAAAAGUUGUAGAAGAGUUCCAAUUACUAUUCCAACCCUCGAACUUCAUAAUUCGCCCAAGUUCAGAGUAUUACAUUCACCCCUCCUAAAAAGGGUUUCGUCCGCAAAACUAGAAUCCAAUUUAUGCUUCAAAAUCAUUCGAAAUGAAUGGGGAAUAUAUAGGUUAUAACGUCUCAAUUCAUUCCCAAGGAGUUUAAACUAAUCAAAUCACAUAAGACGUUUUUAUGGGAACACCCAUAAGUCUAAAAAUUCAGUAUUUCGCACUUUACCUUUUUCCAUCAUUGUUCCAGAGUUCAUAUAACUUUCUCCCAAUAAAAAGUUCUUCUUUCACUCAUGAAAUCCAUGGUUUAAUGGAUGAAGUUCCAUUUCUGAUUUUUCAAUAAUUCGAGGAUAAAAUCCAACUCUUCUCAUCAUGCUGAUAUGAAGGGGGUUCCAUCAUUCAGUUGAUAAGAAGAAUUCCAAUGGUACCAUUUACAAUAGGGUUUAGUAGUUAUACCUGGUACCUGUCUCGAGUUCCAAAGAAUUAUCAUACAUUAAUAAAGAACAGUGGACUCCUCAAUUAUCAGUUUAUUCUCAAAAGGCAAAACUCUUUAAGAGAUUGUACUAUUAAUGCAAUUCUAUUCCAAGAUGAAAUUCACCUUUUACUAUAAUUUGUUCAAUCAGUCCCUCCAUACUUCGCAAAUCUAUUGCCGGAAUCCAUUUCUCGAUUUGUGCGUGUCAUCCAGUAGUCACAACUUUUCAAAAAUUGCACUCUUGGUGCACUGCCACUCCAAGGUUAGAUAAAGGAAGAAGUACCCAUAGUUCUUGUAGUUGUUGUAUUCCACAAUUAUUACUAGCUUGAUAAUGAACUAGUUAUCUCUGGUAGUACCGCUUCAAUAACAAAUUGAAAUUGAUUAUCUUCUCCAUCAAUCCACUAAAGGUGGAUUCCUGAUUUACUAUUCAGCAUUGUAUCACAAUGCCUUAGCAUCAUAUUUCAUUCUAUCACUAGGCGAUAAUCCCAAAUUCACAUCAAUGGAUGUACUUAAACUCAUACAAAUUCCAUUAAUGUUGUCUCUGUAGCUUUACUAUUUUUCUUUAUACCAAUCAUAAAGUAAAUCAUAACCACUUCAUCACUGAGAAAUUUUCCUCACAUAUUCCAAUUCGAUUUCCAACCAAUUCUGUUCAAGUCCAAAUUUGGAAGUUUGCUUCUGCCAAAAUGACUCAUGACAUUACUUAUUUGAUCCUGAGAGUAGAUCAAUCAAAUAAACUUUCUUUGAUACUGUUUUGAAAGUGGGAUGCCCAAAGGAUUCAUUGUCCCAGAUCCAAUUUAGGCAAUAGAGGGGAAAUCAACUUAUACUUCACCCACACUCUCUAUUGCUAUUUCACUCCAUAAUCAGGGAAGAAAUCUGAACGAAGCCUUUUGUUGACUAGAGCAUCAUUAUUUGCUUCCAAUCAUACGGGGUUUAUCCUAAUAUGACUAUCAGUAAGGACAUUAAUCCCCAAAGACUGAUCUCAUGCGGUUUGUUCCAUGAAGCUUAGUUCCAUUAGGAGAGUCUCAUCUCAAUCCUUUUAAUUCUUCUGCUUGGUCAAUCAUUAUCUACCUUAUAGGGUUCACAAUACAAACAAUUGAACCAAUCCCUUCACGACAUUCUCUGUCAAAGAAGGCUACAAAAUUCCUCAGAUCGCUACUCAAUCUAUAACAUGCACGACAUGCACCCAAAACUCAAGACUGAUUAAAAGAUCAACAGGUUUCACUAUAAUUUAACUACUUAAUCGUGUUUUCAAUUGAAAUCACGAUAUUCGACAUAUGGUCGAACAACUCAUGCAGUCUGACAAUAAAUAGGAUCGCUUCACCAAAACGAAGCACAAGGCAUAAAAGCCUCCCUAUUAGUUAAAUUCACAAUUUGUGACUCGACCAGAAAUACAGCAACAACGUCUUAAAAUCAUCCAUCAUUUUGAUGAUUCUCACAGUCUAAAUUAUCAGCCAAUUAGGCUCCAACCUUUCUAUAAUUAUCUAAUUUAGGUAAAAUGACAAUUCUCGCAAUCGGCGAGAUUAAAUCUUCAAGAUGCAUAUAAUGCUCAAAUUUCCAAGGCGGAUCAGUUUAGCUCGCACAAACCAUGAUACAAAGUACCUCACAACUAAAUUUUAACCAAAACCACUCUAUCAUAGGUAAGGCCAAUCCAUUGUUGGCAUAUACUAAACUUUCUCCUUAGGCAGGGCAUCAAGUAGACCAUUCUAUUAAAUCAAUCCUAUAUGCAUUAAGGAUGGAAUUGAUGCUAUUCAACUCGACAAACAGUCGAUCAAAGAUGCAACUCAACAAUCAUCAUCAAGAUAAUCAGGUCAUAGGAACAUAGCAUAACAUACUAUCUGUAGUAAUUAUCCCCGCCGUCAUAUUUGGUUUCAGCUACUCGGUAGACAACUAUCCACUUGGUGCCUCUCGUGAUGAGGUUGGUGCGGAUACUUUCUCUAGCAUACUAUUCCUUGGGCACUCUACUCGAAAAUGGCCCUCCUAACAACAUACGAAACACUUUCCUUUCCGUUGAGGGCACUUUGGGGGUACGUACGGACCUCCACAAAUCACACAUCACUGUGAUAGUCAACAAUUCAAUAUUCUUCGUUUAGAAAAGAACCGCGUCCCCGAGGUUGAUUCUUCUUGACUCUCCUUAAUGAUUCCUCAACCUGCAACCGGUCACUUUUAGUGGUCUGCUUUGCCGUCUCAAUCAAUUCCACACUUUUUCUUGCCGUCAAGGUGUAAUCUGAAACUUCCUGAAAUUUCUUGAGGUCUAUCGUCUGUUGGAUCAACAAAUUCUCCAACCUUCUAAUACCCUCAUCUUGUCGGCGUAAGGCUUCUGCUUGGAGUAACGCCACAUUCGACUGUCUUUCCACCAUUCCCACUAGAGUGGCCAACUGCUCUCUCAGUUCCGGAACCUCAUCAGAUUGGGAGGAUACAAGCUUUUUUCAACUCCGUCGCCUCGGCCGUUGUAGAGUGCAUCCAUGACAUCGCAAGCUGCAACAAACAAAAUUGGCAUAGGUUAAACAACCUAUGCUAUCGUAGCCCCACUCAUAAUUAUAAGAUCCCCAAUCCUGCGAAAGUAAUGAAAUGAUUUCCCACUAUUCCCCGAUAUCACGUUGUCGGCCGCCAACGGGAUCUCGCAAGGACAUAGAGGUCACUCACUUCGAUUAAACUCCAAUACUUUCGGAGUUUUACAUAUAACCCAAUCAUAAUACUUUCGCCCAAAAUGGUCAUAAAAGACCCCAUCUCUCACGCUCCUAAUCCUGAUCGUCCAACCAGCCUAAGAUUUACUAGGUCCACCAAGACUCAACCCUAGGCUCUGAUACCACUAUAAUCUGUCACGCCCUGGAUUUCAGCGGAAGCUCACCAGUCGCAUGCACAGACCCGCCGUGUACACCACAACUCAAGUAUACACCAGGCGUCUACAAUCAAUAUAGUAAAAGCAUUCGAUUCUAACCAGGUACUCAGAGCAAAGCCUAAAAGUUUAACUUAUACAACCCAAAACCUUAUUACAACAAAUAAGAACAAAGCACAAUUUACAUGAUCAUAUUAUACAUCACUGAACUAAACUACAUAAACUGAUAAAGGCUGUCUAGUAAUCGUCUAAAAGGCUCUAGCUAGCCGUUGACCCCUCGCCAGGAACCCUAGCCUUUCCCGCUGUGGAAGGCUCUGUAAAAACAACAACAAAGAGAGCGUGAGAACUAUUAAACAAUAAUUCCCAGUGGGUAAGCCGCCAGGACUGGCGAAGUACACCACUAGGUCAACUGUGGCAAGAGUAAACAGUAGUAAAUAAGCAAGUAAAUGCAACAGAUAUUGAAACAAUUCAAUUAUGCUAUUUACUCAAAGUAAAUAUAUAAAUGCACCAAUCCACAGUUUGUAGGUACUCGUUUAUCAUGAUAAGUUCUAUCAUUCAUGUUAGUGACAAUUUAACUAGCUAUAUGCCCAACGUAUGUAAGAUAAUUCAUUUAAGCUAAAAUAACUGAUGAUAUCCUGGAAUUACUUCCUACACCAGUAAAAGUGUAACACAUUGUCACUAACGUCAAGAUGUCAACUUUCUAGCUUAUUCAUCAAUAAGUUCACUUGUCAUUUACCUACUUGAUGUUUGAAUCUUGUAAGACCCACCCGAAGGCUGUCUGGCAUGAAGACCCACCCGAAGGCUGUCUGACAUGAAGACCCACCCGAAGGCUGUCUGGUAUGUGCCGCGCCUAAUGGCCCCGUGGAAGUUAAUACUACCCACGGCAAUCCAUUUUGGCGUUCACUUCAUACAUAAGCGAGCAAUCUGUCGCUAAGCCACUCCGGAGCGCUGGCUUGGGGGCGCGAUCCCUCCCCACAAGCGUGUGCAAAUGAGCACAAUGGCAUGCAAGCUGUAAUUCACAGUAUAGGUAUCACCACUUCAUCAUGUCUCUGACAUGGAAUCUCAAUUCGAUAUAAGGUCGACAUUGUAGUACCCAAAUCAUAAGUCACUAUCAACUACUUAUUGACAUACUUUGACCAACAGUUAGUAUAACUUGAAUAAUGAUAAUUUAACAUCAUAAUAGGCUAUACCCACAAUUACACAUUUAAAAUCCUCACACUAUUCCCUAUAUACAAGGAAAGUGAUUUCUAAGGUCAUCUCUAAUAACUCAUGGCACAUAUCCUAUAGUUCCAUGUAAUCCUCUCCUACUUGGAGUAACCAAGUCAUAUGCAAUUCCCCUAUUGCAUUGUACAGAGAUGGUCUGAUGUUCAACUUUAGAUAUUUAUGAGAUUACCUUCAGUAGAAUAACAUGCAGGUUAUAUCACAAUACCAUAAUCUAGUUACCCAACAAGAUCAAGCAUAACACAUGCAGUUAACCAAGUUCUAUUCUUUAAAGGUGGAAAGCAUCUGCAUGACAUAAACAGGCAAAUGCUCUUUAUCUGCUUGUAGUCCAGUUAUUCUUCAUUACCAAAGUAUACUCAAUUCAUUUCAUUCUGUCUGAUAUGCUCUGGUUUCAGAUAUUAUGUUGACAAUAUGGAAUAGCAUAAUAUAACUUGGAGGUUAAAACCGAUCAUAUACUAUCCAUUUAGUUAUACAUUCAACUAAGUACCAUUUUCAUGACUUAUUAAGCUUGUUUUCACAAAUAUCUUAAUGUCAUGUAAUACAUGCCCGACUAGCAAAUAAUCUCUAGAUGCAAAACAUAUUCGUACUUUACCUCUACUAUAUAGAGGUUCUCUUUUACCCAUGAGGCUAUGCAAUAAGUUUAACUCGUAAUAUCAAAGCAAUCAUAGAGGAAAUUCACCCAUUUCGAGAAGGUCCGACCCACCAAUAUGUUGACAACUCUCGUUGAUUUAGCGAGCGAAAGUAUCCGAAGCCUCCUAGUAUCCUAGCAAGUAUUCUAAAGUCAGCUAGGCAUAUAACUCAUAACUCUACAUCAAACUCGUAUAGUCACCUCAUUCAGGUAAAUUCUUACCUGAUAUAGAGUUAAGGCUUAAUUCCUGACUUCAUCCUCAGGUUGGAACUCCAAAUCCAACCUUAGAAAGCUCUCUAAACUCAGCUGAGCCAGAUCAGAAAAUCUGCUGCGAAUUAGUAUCAAAACAGCACUAAUACACAUACAAAUUACAUCAUAUAAGCCAGAGUCUCACCUAGGUUUAGACCAAAACUAAAUCUUCACUUCCAAGCAAGUUAAAGUAUUCCAAAUUAGCUCAUACUAGUCACCAAUUUAGCUCAAUUGAAUCUGAUUUUCUGCCACAAAUUCGCUGAAAUCAUGUAUCCGAAUUGCAUCAAAACUAUAACUAUUAUAUCUAAUUAACAAGCUCAUAAGUGAUAUACCUCCCAAUAGCUUCAAUCGGGCCUUUUUCCCCUGAUUUGGAAUUGAUAACUCGCAGCAAAGCCAGUUCUAAAGGUCACUAUAUUCCAUUCAAAGCACUUUUACCACCUGUUGGGAACCAUUACACACAACUCCAUCAUUACCAUUGCUAUUGUCUCGAAGCUAGUAAGUAUAGUUGUGAAUUUACCUUGUUCAGCUCCGACUCAGUUUUAACUGAGUAAAGAUCGAAGAAUCAUGGCCCAAAAUGCCUUUACUUCCGUUUUCACAAGCUGUCCAAAAUCAGUUGGCAGCAAAUAAGUAAAACAAGUUUAAACUUCGUCACUCAAGCUUCAAUCUAGAGAAAAGUUGCCAUACUUACCUCACAGAAUUUCAACUCAGUUCCUGCUGAGUUAAGGUGGAAGAAAAUAGUCAAACAUCAAUUCCCAAGCUUCAAAAGCCAUCCCCCAGGUUUCCAAACCAGCUUGUAGCAAGAGAGGGAGAAAAACCAACUCAAAUCCACUAGUUUUUCCUUUCCAAAUGGAAG